GAUGAAGAACGUAGCGAACGUGCGAAACGUAAUGUGAAUUGCAGAAUUCAGUGAAUCAUCGAAUCUUUGAACGCAUCUUGCGCUCCUUGGUAUUCCGAGGAGCAUGCCUGUUUGAGUGUCGUGAAUACUCUCAACUUCAACCCUUUUUUCGGAAAGGGAGGAAGGUUGGACUUGGGUGUUUGUUGAAGUGCGAGCUUCGACUCAUCCUAAAUGCAUUAGCGAUCUGCCUCGAUCACACACAAUGUGACAAUUAAAACUAAAGCAUUGUUUAAUGAUCAAGUCGAGACUGCUUCUAACUGUCGCAAGACAAUAACGUGCAUACAUUUGUGCAUGUCAUUUGACCUCAAAUCAGGUAGGACUACCCGCUGAACUUAAGCAUAUCAAUAAGCGGAGGA
rnacentral:misc_RNA from 1 species